rnacentral:rRNA from 1 species
GACGAACGCUGGCGGCGUGCUUAAUACAUGCAAGUCGAACGGUAAGGCCCUGUUUUUGUGGCGUGCUGAAGUGGCGCGCGCGUGUGUAAAACGCGUGUAGCAUGUCCUUGUCUUUGGGAUAACUUCUGGGAACUGGGGCUCUUAUAGGAUAGGAGCUCUUGCUGCAUGGUGGGGGUUGGUGAGUGUCGCCGGUUUGGGAUGGACUCGAGGCUAAUCGGCUUGUUGGUGGGGUAGUGGCGUACCAGGGCUUUGGCGGGUAGCUGGCUUGAGAGUGUGACCGGCCACAUUGGGACUGGGAAAGGGCCCAUACUGCUACGGGAGGCAGCAGUGGGGAAUAGUGCACAAUGGGCGGAAGCAGUAUGCAGCGACGCCGGGUGCGAGAUGACGGCCUUCAGGUUGGAAACCGCGUGCGCCUGUGACGAAGAGUGAGUGACGGUAAUGAGUAAGGAAGCACCGGCUAACUACGUG